rnacentral:rRNA from 1 species
GGGGAAUCUUAGACAAUGGGCGCAAGCCUGAUCUAGCCAUGCCGCGUGAGCGAUGAAGGCCUUAGGGUUGUAAAGCUCUUUCAGUGGGGAAGAUAAUGACUGUACCCACAGAAGAAGCCCCGGCUAACUCCGUGCCAGCAGCCGCGGUAAUACGGAGGGGGCUAGCGUUGUUCGGAAUUACUGGGCGUAAAGCGCACGUAGGCGGACUGGAAAGUCAGGGGUGAAAUCCCGGGGCUCAACCCCGGAACUGCCUUUGAAACUCCCAGUCUUGAGGUCGAGAGAGGUGAGUGGAAUUCCGAGUGUAGAGGUGAAAUUCGUAGAUAUUCGGAGGAACACCAGUGGCGAAGGCGGCUCACUGGCUCGAUACUGACGCUGAGGUGCGAAAGCGUGGGGAGCAAAC